rnacentral:rRNA from 1 species
CAGGCUUAACACAUGCAAGUCGAGGGGCAUCAGGAAGAAAGCUUGCUUUCUUUGCUGGCGACCGGCGCACGGGUGAGUAACACGUAUCCAACCUGCCCUUUACUCGGGGAUAGCCUUUCGAAAGAAAGAUUAAUACCCGAUAGCAUAAUGAUUCCGCAUGGUUUCAUUAUUAAAGGAUUCCGGUAAAGGAUGGGGAUGCGUUCCAUUAGGUUGUUGGUGGGGUAACGGCCCACCAAGCCUUCGAUGGAUAGGGGUUCUGAGAGGAGGGUCCCCCACAUUGGAACUGAGACACGGUCCAAACUCCUACGGGAGGCAGCAGUGAGGAAUAUUGGUCAAUGGGCGCUAGCCUGAACCAGCCAAGUAGCGUGAAGGAUGAAGGCUCUAUGGGUCGUAAACCUCUUUUAUAUAAGAAUAAAGUGCAGUAUGUAUACUGUUUUGUAUGUAUUAUAUGAAUAAGGAUCGGCUAACUCCGUGCCAGCAGCCGCGGUAAUACGGAGGAUCCGAGCGUUAUCCGGAUUUAUUGGGUUUAAAGGGAGCGUAGGUGGACUGGUAAGUCAGUUGUGAAAGUUUGCGGCUCAACCGUAAAAUUGCAGUUGAUACUGUCAGUCUUGAGUACAGUAGAGGUGGGCGGAAUUCGUGGUGUAGCGGUGAAAUGCUUAGAUAUCACGAAGAACUCCGAUUGCGAAGGCAGCUCACUGGACUGCAACUGACACUGAUGCUCGAAAGUGUGGGUAUCAAACAGG